GAUGAACGCUAGCUACAGGCUUAACACAUGCAAGUCGAGGGGCAGCAUGUCGGUUGCUUGCAACCGAUGAUGGCGACCGGCGCACGGGUGAGUAACGCGUAUCCAACCUACCCUUGUCCAUCGGAUAACCCGUCGAAAGGCGGCCUAACAAGAUAUGCGGUUCUCAGCAGGCAUCUAACGAGAACGAAAUGUGAAGGAGAAGGAUGGGGAUGCGUCUGAUUAGCUUGUUGGUGGGGUAACGGCCCACCAAGGCAACGAUCAGUAGGGGUUCUGAGAGGAAGGUCCCCCACAUUGGAACUGAGACACGGUCCAAACUCCUACGGGAGGCAGCAGUGAGGAAUAUUGGUCAAUGGACGGGAGUCUGAACCAGCCAAGUAGCGUGCAGGAUGACGGCCCUAUGGGUUGUAAACUGCUUUUAUAGGGGGAUAAAGUGUGCCACGUGUGGCAUAUUGCAGGUACCCUAUGAAUAAGGACCGGCUAAUUCCGUGCCAGCAGCCGCGGUAAUACGGAAGGUCCGGGCGUUAUCCGGAUUUAUUGGGUUUAAAGGGAGCGUAGGCCGUCUUAUAAGCGUGUUGUGAAAUGUCGGGGCUCAACCUGGGCAUUGCAGCGCGAACUGUGAGACUUGAGUGCGCAGGAAGUAGGCGGAAUUCGUCGUGUAGCGGUGAAAUGCUUAGAUAUGACGAAGGACUCCGAUUGCGAAGGCAGCCUGCUGUAGCGCAACUGACGCUGAAGCUCGAAAGCGUGGGUAUCGAACAGG
rnacentral:rRNA from 1 species